UACGGGAGGCAGCAGUGGGGAAUAUUGCACAAUGGGCGAAAGCCUGAUGCAGCUAUGCCGCGUGUAUGAAGAAGGCCUUAGGGUUGUAAAGUACUUUUCAGUCGUGAGGAAGGUGUUAAGGUUAAUAACCUUAGCAAUUGACGUUAGCGACAGAAGAAGCACCGGCUAACUCCGUGCCAGCAGCCGCGGUAAUACGGAGGGUGCGAGCGUUAAUCGGAAUUACUGGGCGUAAAGGGCACGCAGGCGGUUAAUUAAGUUGGAUGUGAAAUCCCCGGGCUUAACCUGGGAAUGGCAUUCAAGACUGGUUAGCUAGAGUCUUGUAGAGGGGGUAGAAUUCCAUGUGUAGCGGUGAAAUGCGUAGAGAUGUGGAGGAAUACCGGUGGCGAAGGCGGCCCCUGGACAAAGGACUGACGCUCAUGUGCGAAAGCGUGGGGAGCAAACGAGGGAUUAGAU
rnacentral:rRNA from 1 species